UGUGCAGCAGUCGGGAAUAUUGCGCAAUGGGGGAAACCCUGACGCAGCGACGCCGCGUGGGCGACGAAGGCCUUCGGGUCGUAAAGCCCUUUUGUCAGGGACGAGUGAGGACGGUACCUGGCGAAUAAGUCUCGGCUAACUACGUGCCAGCAGCCGCGGUAAAACGUAGGAGGCGAGCGUUAUCCGGAUUCACUGGGCGUAAAGCGCGCGUAGGCGGUUUGUUAAGUCGGAUGUGAAAGCCCCUGGCUCAACUGGGGGAGGUCAUUCGAUACUGGCAGGCUUGAGGGUGAGAGAGGGGAGUGGAAUUCCCGGUGUAGCGGUGGAAUGCGUAGAGAUCGGGAGGAACACCAGUGGCGAAGGCGGCUCCCUGGCUCACUCCUGACGCUGAGAGCGCGAAAGCGUGGGGAGCAAACGGGAUUAGAUACCCUGGUAGC
rnacentral:rRNA from 1 species